rnacentral:rRNA from 1 species
GGUCAACUUACUGAUUCUGGUUGUCGUGUCAUCCUUGAUGUUGACUCUUGUUCUGUUCAGGAUCGUCGCACGCACACUCUGGUUGGGGCUGGCCCUCGCCGCCGUGAUUCUCAGGGUCUUUGGGAGUUGGACUGGCUUCAUGUUCCUUCCGCUGCCACCACCAUCGCCAGUUCCUCCGCUGCUGUCGCUUCUGUUACUGGUUCCUUCAAGCAGUGGCAUCAUCGACUUGGUCAUCUGUGUGGUUCUCGAUUAUCGUCUUUAGUUCGUCGAGGUCUUCUGGGGUCUGUCUCAGGAGAUGUCUCUUUAGAGUGUCAGGGUUGUCGUCUUGGCAAGCAGAUUCAGCUACCAUAUUCUCAUAGUGAGUCAGUGUCUCAGCGUCCUUUCGAUUUAGUCCAUUCUGAUGUAUGGGGUCCGGCUCCUUUCCCUUCGAAAGGUGGUCAUAAAUACUAUAUUAUUUUCAUCGAUGAUUUUUCUCGUUACACAUGGCUUUAUUUCAUGACUUCACGUAGUGAGGUGUUGUCUAUUUAUAAGCGUUUUGCUGCCAUGGUUCAUACUCAGUUCUCUUCACCCAUUCGUGUUUUUCGUGCUGACUCCGCUGGUGAGUAUAUCUCUAAGAUGUUGCAUGGUGUCCUUGCUGAGCAGGGUACUCUUGCCCAGUUCUCUUGUCCUGGUGCUCAUGCUCAGAAUGGUGUGUCUGAGCGCAAGCAUCGUCACCUUCUUGAGACGGCUCGUGCUAUGAUGAUCGCCGCCUCUCUUCCGCCUCAUUUUUGGGCCGAGGCUAUCUCCACUUCUGUCUAUCUCAUCAACCUUCAGCCAUCUGCUGCUUUGCAGGGUGGUGUUCCUUUUGAGCGUCUGUUUGAUCGCUCUCCCGAUUAUUCGAUGCUUCGCUUGUUUGGUUGUGUUUGCUAUGUUCUUCUUGCCCCUCGCGAACGCACCAAACUGACCGCUCAGUCUGUUGAGUGUGUCUUCUUAGGCUACAGUGAUGAGCAUAAGGGCUAUCGUUGUUGGGAUCCUGUCGGUCGUCGGAUGCGUAUCUCGCGAGAUGUGACUUUUGAUGAGUCUCGUCCUUUUUACCCACGCCCAUCUUCCUCGGUCUUUUCCGUGGAGGAUAUCUCUUUUCUCACUUUUCCUGACUCCCCUAUCACUCCCGUUGCGCCUGUGCCUGUUCGUCCCACUCCCUCUGCUUCUCCACCCCUUGUCGAUUCAUCGCCACCAUCUUCCCCGGUCUCCUCACCUAGCAUGUCACCGGAUUCUACACCUUCAUCUCCGGUGACUUCUUCGUCGCCUCCCCCUGAUUCUCCCUUGGCGAUU